rnacentral:rRNA from 1 species
GACGAACGCUGGCGGCGUGCUUAACACAUGCAAGUGGUGCGACGAACCAGGCUUCGGCCUGGGGCGAAGCCGCGAACGGGUGAGUAACACGUGGGCAAUCUGCCUCUUUGAUCGGGACAACCCGGGGAAACCCGGGCUAAUACCGAAUGAGGUGGCGACUCAUGAGAGUCGUCACGAAAGGAAGCUUCGGCCUCCGCGAAGGGAUGAGCCCGCGGCCCAUUAGCUUGUUGGUGGGGUAAUGGCCUACCAAGGCAACGAUGGGUAGCUGGUCUGAGAGGACGCUCAGCCACACUGGGACUGAGACACGGCCCAGACUCCUACGGGAGGCUGCAGUGGGGAAUCUUGCGCAAUGCGCGACAGCUUGACGCAGCAACGCCGCGUGAGGGAAGAAGGCUUUCGGGUCGUAAACCUCUUUCAGUUAGGACGAAGCUUUAUUGGUUAAUAACCAAUUGGAGUGACGGUACUUUCAGAAGAAGCCCCGGCUAACUACGUGCCAGCAGCCGCAGUAA